GCCACGCCCGCUCGAGAAACGUUAAAGGAAGUUGACGGGGGCCCCGCACAAGCGGUGGAGUAUGUGGUUUAAUUCGAUGCAACGCGAAGAACCUUACCUGGUCUUGACAUCCCGGAGACCCUUAGGAAACUAGGGGGUGCUUCCAUCUGGAAGAAUCUGGAGACAGGUGCUGCAUGGCUGUCGUCAGCUCGUGUCGUGAGAUGUUGGGUUAAGUCCCGCAACGAGCGCAACCCUUGCCUUUAGUUGCCAGCAGUUCGGCUGGGCACUCUAAAGGGACUGCCGGUGUUAAACCGGAGGAAGGUGGGGAUGACGUCAAGUCCUCAUGGCCUUUAUGACCAGGGCUACACACGUACUACAAUGGCCGAUACAAAGGGCAGCGACACUGCGAGGUGAAGCCAAUCCCGUAAAAUCGGUCUCAGUCCGGAUUGGAGUCUGCAACUCGACUCCAUGAAGUUGGAAUCGCUAGUAAUCGUGGAUCAGCAUGCCACGGUGAAUACGUUCCCGGGCCUU
rnacentral:rRNA from 1 species